rnacentral:rRNA from 1 species
CACUACGAACGGGUGGAGCCUGCGGUUUAAUUGGAUCAACGCCGAAAUCUCGACCGGGGCGACAGCAAUAUGAAGGUCAGGCUGAAGACCUUACCCGAUUAGCUGAGAGGUGGUGCAUGGCCGUCGUCAGUUCGUACUGUGAAGCAUCCUGUUAAGUCAGGCAACGAGCGAGACCCACGUCCACAGUUGCCAGCAUACCCUCCGGGGUGAUGGGUACACUGUGGAGACCGCCGCUGCUAAAGCGGAGGAAGGAGUGGGCAACGGUAGGUCAGUAUGCCCCGAAUCUCCCGGGCUACACGCGGGCUACAAUGGUUGGUACAAUGGGCAUCUACCCCGAAAGGGGAAGGAAAUCUCUUAAAGCCAAUCGUAGUUCGGAUUGAGGGCUGCAACUCGCCCUCAUGAAGCUGGAAUCCGUAGUAAUCGCGUUUCAACAGAACGCGGUGAAUACGUCCCUGCUCCUU